rnacentral:rRNA from 1 species
UGCCAGACUCCUACGGGAGGCAGCAGUGGGGAAUAUUGCACAAUGGGGGAAACCCUGAUGCAGCGACGCCGCGUGAAGGAAGAAGUAUUUCGGUAUGUAAACUUCUAUCAGCAGGGAAGAAAAUGACGGUACCUGACUAAGAAGCCCCGGCUAACUACGUGCCAGCGGCCGCGGUAAUACGUAGGGGGCAAGCGUUAUCCGGAUUUACUGGGUGUAAAGGGAGCGUAGGCGGUGAUGCAAGUCAGAAGUGAAAGCCCGCAGCUCAACUGCGGGACUGCUUUUGAAACUGUAUGACUAGAUUGCAGGAGAGGUAAGUGGAAUUCCUAGUGUAGCGGUGAAAUGCGUAGAUAUACGGAGGAACACCAGUGGCGAAGGCGGCCUGCUGGACAUUAACUGACGCUGAGGCGCGAAAGCGUGGGGAGCAAACAGGAUUAGAUACCCGAGUAAA